rnacentral:rRNA from 1 species
UACGUAGGGUGCAAGCGUUGUCCGGAAUUAUUGGGCGUAAAGAGCUCGUAGGCGGUUUGUCGCGUCUGCUGUGAAAUCCCGAGGCUCAACCUCGGGUCUGCAGUCGAUACGAGCAAACUAGAGUGUUGCAGGGGAGACUGGAAUUCCCGGUGUAGUGGUGGAAUGCGUAGAUAUCGGGAGGAACACCAGUGGCGAAGGCGGUUGCCUGGAGCUUUGCUGACGCUGAGGCGCGAAAGCGUGGGGAGCGAUCCGG